rnacentral:rRNA from 1 species
UACGUAGGCAGCAAGGCGUUGUUCGGAGUUACUGGGCGUAAAGGGUGCGUAGGCGGUUGUUUAAGUUUGGUGUGAAAUCUCCCGGCUCAACUGGGAGGGUGCGCCGAAUACUGAAUGACUUAGAGUACGGGAGAGGAGAGUGGAAUUCCUGGUGUAGCGGUGAAAUGCGUAGAUAUCAGGAGGAACACCGGUGGUGUAGACGGCUCUCUGGACCGUAACUGACGCUGAGGCACGAAAGCGUGGGUAGCAAACAGG